GCCCGUGUAGUCCAACGGCAGAGACAGGAGACUUAAAAUCUCUACAGUGUCGGUUCGAAUCCGACCACGGGUA
rnacentral:tRNA from 1 species